GAUGAACGCUGGCGGCGUGCCUAAUACAUGCAAGUCGAGCGAACAGACGAGGAGCGUGCUCCUCUGACGUUAGCGGCUGACGGGUGAGUAACACGUGGAUAACCUACCUAUAAGACUGGGAUAACUUCGGGAAACCGGAGCUAAUACCGGAUAAUAUAUUGAACCGCAUGGUUCAAUAGUGAAAGACGCUUUUGCUGUCACUUAUAGAUGGAUCCGCGCCGCAUUAGCUAGUUGGUAAGGUAACGGCUUACCAAGGCAACGAUGCGUAGCCGACCUGAGAGGGUGAUCGGCCACACUGGAACUGAGACACGGUCCAGACUCCUACGGGAGGCAGCAGUAGGGAAUCUUCCGCAAUGGGCGAAAGCCUGACGGAGCAACGCCGCGUGAGUGAUGAAGGUCUUCGGAUCGUAAAACUCUGUUAUUAGGGAAGAACAAAUGUGUAAGUAACUAUGCACGUCUUGACGGUACCUAAUCAGAAAGCCACGGCUAACUACGUG
rnacentral:rRNA from 1 species